GGAGAGGUGGCUGAGUGGUCGAAAGCACCUUCCUGCUAAGAAGACGUACGGGGUUAACCUGUACCGAGGGUUCGAAUCCCUCCCUCUCCG
rnacentral:tRNA from 2 species